rnacentral:sRNA from 1 species
AGCAGCCGCGGUAAUUCCAGCUCCAAUAGCGUAUAUUAAAGUUGUUGCAGUUAAAAAGCUCGUAGUUGAAUUUCGGGAUCAGUUGGUCGGUCGUGCCUCGGUACGUACUGGUCAAAUUGAUUCCUACCUUCUGACGAACCACGAUGUCAUUAAUUUGGUGUCGUGGGGAAUCAGGACUGUUACUUUGAAAAAAUUAGAGUGUUUAAAGCAGGCUCGCGCUUGAAUACAUUAGCAUGGAAUAAUGAAAUAGGACGUUUGAUUCUAUUUUGUUGGUUUCUAGGAUCGACGUAAUGAUUAAUAGGGAUAGUUGGGGGCAUUAGUAUUCAAUUGUCAGAGGUGAAAUUCUUGGAUUUAUUGAAGACUAACUACUGCGAAAGCAUUUGCCAAGGAUGUUUUCAUUAAUCAAGAACGAAAGUUAGGGGAUCGAAGACGAUCAGAUACCGUCGUAGUCUUAACCAUAAACUAUGCCGACUAGGGAUCGGAUGAUGUUAAUUUUUUAAUGACUCAUUCGGCGCCUUAC